rnacentral:rRNA from 1 species
AGUUUAGUCUGCCCAGUGAUGAGGAUUUAACGGCCGCAGUACUUUGACUGUGCUAAGGUAGCAAAAUAAAUAGGCUUUUAAUUGAGGUCGAGUAUGAAUGGCAUUAUGGGUGGAAACUGUCUCACUUACUUUUACCAAAGAACUUAAUAAAUAGGUGAAAAUACCUAUAUAAUAAUAAUAGACGAGAAGACCCUUAGAGUUUUAAAUAAGUAGCUGGUAGUGCAGUUGAAAUUUUUUAUUGGGGCGAUAAAGUAUCAAUUUAAAAGCAUACUUAACUUAAUUAAAGUUACAAGUCUUUAAUUUAAAUGUGAAUAUAACUACCUAAGGGAUAACAGCAUAAUUUUAUUAAUAAGAUUGUGACCUCGAUGUUGGAUUAGGGACUAAAUGUAUUAGUCAUACGU